rnacentral:rRNA from 1 species
GAUGAACGCUGGCGGCGUGCCUAAUACAUGCAAGUCGAGCGAACAGACGAGGAGCUUGCUCCUCUGACGUUAGCGGCGGACGGGUGAGUAACACGUGGAUAACCUACCUAUAAGACUGGGAUAACUUCGGGAAACCGGAGCUAAUACCGGAUAAUAUAUUGAACCGCAUGGUUCAAUAGUGAAAGACGGUUUUGCUGUCACUUAUAGAUGGAUCCGCGCCGCAUUAGCUAGUUGGUAAGGUAACGGCUUACCAAGGCAACGAUGCGUAGCCGACCGGAGAGGGUGAUAGGCCACACGGGAACUGAGACACGGACCAGACUCCUAAGGGAGGCAGCAGUAGGGAAUCUUACGCAAUGGGCGAAAGCCUGACGGAGCAACGCCGCGUGAGUGAUGAAGGUCUUCGGAUCGUAAAACUCUGUUAUUAGGGAAGAACAAAUGUGUAAGUAACUAUGCACGUCGUGACGGUACCUAAUCAGAAAGCCACGGCUAACUACGUG